AAAAAUUAGCUAUAACAACUAAGCAAUUAAAUUGGUUUCAGGCUUAAAAUUCCAUAUUUCAGUGUUAUGGUAACCAGCUUUAACAGUACCAGUUUUUUAAAUGUUAUGGCAACCCUUUUUGACAAGUAAUUCUGUACGAUAAUGUCUUUUGUCUUAGCUUGUGAAGUCCAUCAUUGCCACAAGGUGACAAUUAUCCCCAUCGGAAAGAACUUUCUUUUUUAUUUCUUUUAAUGUACUUGAACGGAGUGUUACAAAGAUAGCCUUUUACAACCAUAAACCUCCUAGAUCUAAUAAGGUGGAACCUGCCCCGAGGUCAUGAACAUAUUUGCUGGUUGUCAACCGCAAGCAGUUGCCUGGUAUUGUUAAAUGGAUUAGUCUAUGGUGCAGUAACUCAUGGCACCUUUUGAUUUCAAUUUCUUAUGAUCAGGUGCUUCCUGUGCUAUGUUGGGUAAAUUGCAAAACUAUUUUUAGGGUUUAAGGAAAUAUAUCCUUAGUUUGAUGGGUAAUAUAUGAUAUGAAGAGUGUCCAUGCACUUAGUCAACCAAGUAAGAAGCAUAGGUGCAAAUGGAUGAUGAACAUUUGUUUGUUGCAGCUUAAGUUUGCAUGACGUGUUCUUGUGAGACAUGUUAAUUCAUGCUUCUACAUUUGAGACUGUGAAUCAACUCUCACUAACAGUAUGUUUUAGUUUUCGGGCAAGUAAAGUUAAAUGGGUAGUUUGUCGGUGCAAAAUAAUAUCUUAUUAGUGGAUUGCAUGUGUAUGACAGAGCUGUGCCCUCUGCUGUAUUUUCCCAGCCUCCAAUUGGACAAGUUGGUCUUACCGAGGAGCAAGCUGUUCAAGAGUGUGGUGAAGUUGAUAUUUUCACAGCCAACUUCAGGCCUCUAAAGGCCACGCUUUCUGGCCUGCCUGAUUGGGUGUUUAUGAAACUUAUUGUGUGUGCAAACACAAAUACAGUAUUAGGUGUGCACAUGUGUGGGGAAGAUUCACCAGAGAUUAUACAGGGGAUUGCUAUAGCUGUAAAAGCUGGAUUGACAAAAGCAGAUUUUGAUGUCACCGUUGGAAUUCAUCCAACAUCUGCUGAGGAGCUUGUCACCAUGAGGAGUCAAACUGGAAAAUUCCGGAAGGGUCCUUCCUUAGCCAUGGAGAAGAGUGGCAUUGAGAUCAAAUCACAAAGUUGAUGAGUAACUCAUGAGUCAUCUCAUGAGUGCUGCAGCUUCUACGGCCAGGAAGCGUUAUGCAGCAGUGAGUCUCACAAUCAGGCAGGAAUUGUGCAGCAAUGGAGCGUUUGCAGUGAUCAUUACUGGUGUAAACCUUUUUGAUGCUGCAUAAGUACUUCACUGAUCUUUUCUGGAUUGAUGGCGAUAGUGUACUACAUAGGAUUGCUUCUUCUUCAUCUAGACUUGGCAAAAGAUUAACUUCUCGUAGGAAGUGCUUAAUGUUCAGUUUUCACGGAAGACUACAAGACGUGCCACUCGAGGCUCAUCCCUGCAAAGGGUGUAGAAUACAGUAGUAUAUGAAUAGCAAGUUAAUUCUGAACGAUGUAACCGGGUCAUUUUUGAUCGAAGUAUUCGUGUAUUUAUUUUAAACCAUCUCUUGAUGCUUGAACAGAUCAUAUGUAAAAAGUAGUCUAA